AACCCGUUUGGAUUCUUUUCCACCUUUUAGGUGCUUUGUUCUUUGUAAUAAAUUUUAGUGCUGGUUAUUCUUUGGGAUCACACUGCCUUUAUAAGCUGUGACGCUCACUGCAAAGAUAUACAGCUUUAGUCCUGAAGCUACGGAAAACAUGAACCCACCAGGAGAAACGAAGAACUCUGGAUGCGCUGUCUUAAGAGCUGCAACACUCAACAGCGAAGGUCUGCAGCUUUAUUGCUGAGUCAGCAAGACUGCGAACCCACCAAAAAGGAAAAACUCCCAACACAUUGGAACAUCAGAAGGGACAAACUCGGGACACGCCGCCAUUAAGAACUGUAACAAACACCGCGAGGGUCUGCGUCUUUAUUCUCGAAGUCAGCCAGACCGAGAACCCACGAAUUCCAGACACAGACUCAGCUACUCGGGAGGCUGAGGCAGGAGAAUCACUUGAACUCGCGAGGCAGAGGUCACAGCGAGCCAACAUCACAGCAUUGCACUCCAGCCUGGGCACAAGAGCAAGAGCAAAUCACCAUCUUUAAAAAAAAAAAAAAAACCCAAAACCUGUUCAACUUUGCUGGUCAUGAGGGAAAUCUAAAAUAAAACCACAAUUAGUUACCCACUUCUCAGAAUGGCAAGGAGGGGCUCCUGAAAUUCCUAUAUGUUGCUGAGGACAACAGGUAAAGCACUUUGGAGAAAGUGUGGAAAUAUAUCUAUAAAAUGUAAAGAUGCUCUUCCCCACAGUCUUGUGACUGCAUGCAUAGGCGUAUCCCCUAGAGAAACUUUCACGCAUGUGCACCAACCAGCAUGCACAGAAUGUUUACUGCAGCAGAGUCUGCAGUCAGAGAUGUGUAAACAACCAGGCUAAAUAUACUUCAAUAGAAGAAUUAAUAAAUUGUAUGUUCAUCCAGUGAAAUAACAAAUAGCAAUUAAAAAUAAUCUAGGCUACAUGUAUUAACAUGGAAAACCCCCCAAAAUAAUGGUGAACAAAAAACAAAAGCAAGGAUCAGAGGAUACGUACCAUUUACAUAAAGGUAAAAACCAUGUAAAAUAAAACUAUAUAUUAUUGCUUACAAAUAUGUUUAAUUGGCUAAUCAUGGUGGCUUACACCUGUAAUCCCAGCACUUUGGGAAGCCAAGGCAGGAGGAUUGCUUGAGGCCAGGAGUUCAAGAUCAGCCUGGGUAACAUACAGCAACCUCAUUUUUAUGGGGAAAAAAAAAAACAACUAGCCGGGUAUGAUGGUGUGCAUCUCUAGUCCCAGCUACUCGGGAGGCUAAGGUAAGAGGAUCACUUGAGCCCGGGAGUUCGAGGCUGCAGUGAGCCGUAAUCAUGCCAUUGCACAACAGUCUGGGCAACAGAUUGAGACUCUGUCUCAAAAAAUAAAUGAAUAAAUAAAUACGUUUACUUACAGUAAAACAUGCAGGUGGAGUGAUAACCUGUAAAUUCGGGAUACUAGUUACCUCUAGGGAAGAAAAGAGAAGAUGGAAUCCAGAGAGUGGGACCUAGGGGGCCAUACCUCUCUGUAAAUAUUUUGUUAAUUAUUUCAAAAGUAUAAAGCAAAUAUGGCAAAAUGUUAACAUGCAGCAAGCUGGCUAGAACAUGGGUGUUUCUGCAUUAUCCUCUUUAGUUUUCUCUGUGGUUGAAAGUUUCACUUAAAAGAUAAAGCUCUGAAGCCAAGUGACGUGGAAAUAUUGGCUUUGCCUUACAAAUAGCAGGGUGACCAACAUCCUGUACAUAAAUCCUCACACACACAGCCCAUUUCCUUGAAACAAAUUCCUAGAAGUAAAAGAAAUUGCUCGGUCAAAGGGCACAAAAAUUAAGCCUUUUAUAUAUCCUCCCAAGAACUUUACCAAUUUACCCUUCUAUAGCAUUAUUAUUUUUUAUUACAGAUUUG
rnacentral:lncRNA from 1 species